rfam:Felis catus isolate Cinnamon breed Abyssinian chromosome C1, whole genome shotgun sequence.
GCCUGGGUGGCUCAGUUGGUUAAGCACCUGACUUCAGUUCAGGUCAUGAUCUCACAGUUCAUGGGUUCGAGCCCUGCAUCGGGCU